UGGCACCUCUUUUGGCCAAGAAACCUAUUUAUCUUUUUUCUCUUUUUUUGCCUAUAUCCUCAUUCUUUGCUUCUUUUUCCCUUUUCUUAAUUCUUUGUCUAUUAUUUUUAUGUGGAGAUAUUGAGGAGUUGUAACAACAUUGAAGAGUUAUAAUUGUGGGAUUGUAUGGCAUGUUCAUAAAGUUAUAAUCCAACAAACGGGUCUUGAAAUUUGAAAACUUGGAUAGCUGAGCAGGAUCUUGUGUUGGCAUUUUACAAUGCAGGAACGCAAGAGAAGUUAUGCAUAUAGAGCAGGAUAACUAUGUAAACAUAGUUAUGCAGGAUAAUUAUGUCUUCCUCAUAUUUUUUACCAAAACGCAAUGACUAUUACGGAAUUAAGCUAUUGAGUUCUGAUAUGGAGGAAACAUCAAAUGGAUUGCCGUGCAUGCCUGUGUUUUCAGCAAUACCGUUUUGGUCUUUGAGUUAUGUUAUUCUUGUACUACCUUUUUGACGAAUAACGUGAAGUUACUAGAGAAACUUGGAAAAUACAACUUUUCUUUUAGAUUGUCUGAGAUAAUAUAUAAUCUAUGUGAUUGUUAAUA